UACGGGGGGGGCAAGCGUUGUUCGGAAUUACUGGGCGUAAAGGCUCGUAGGCGGCCAACUAAGUCAGACGUGAAAUCCCUCGGACUUAACCGGGGAACUGCGUCUGAUACUGGAUGGCUUGAGUUUGGGAGAGGGAUGCGGAAUUCCAGGGUGUAGCGGAUGAAAUGCGUAGAUAUCUGGAGGAACACCGGUGGCGAAGGCGGCAUC
rnacentral:rRNA from 1 species